CUGAGGUGAGGCCCAAUACCCUGCAUCUGCAAUAAUUCUGAUGCAAGAGGUCACUGGUGAUUCCACAUGCAGCUGCCUGUAAGAACCACAGCGAUCUCAUUUCCCCAGAUGAGAACACAGGCAUGAGAAAGAGAAGCAAUUUGACUAAGAUGGAAAGACAGAGUUUACAGUCCAACAGGGAGACUGGCAUGAAACAAACAUAGAAAUAAAUACACAGCCGCAAAGAAUGCUCAGGGACUUUGGGGGCAUAGAUUCUCCACACUCCGGAGGAUGACGGCAUUAGUGGCACGGCCAUAAGAAGAGGCUUGUUGGCCAAAGUUUCAGGUUCCACGUGGGAGCAAAAGGACACAGCAGUUCCAGCUCUUAUCUUCUGACAAGUUUCAGGCAUAGUGGAAAGAAAUCACUGAGAGGGUUGAAGAAACAGACGCUAGCCUGAGCUUCCUGGAAUGAUCAUGAAGUCGCACUGCAGAACCAGGCCACCAAGAGCUGCUGCCUCAUCUGCAUCAGAAAGCGCCAUCAACAACACAUUCCCCAUAAUCAUGAAGCCACUCUUCCACCAGCUCCUGAGCCACCACAUGCCUGAUGUGUUCCAGACAGACUGGGUGCCCAAGUCCUGCCUCUCAACACCCACCCAGCCAGCGAAGGGUCCCUUGAGUUUUGCUCACAUUGUUGAAGUAGAACCAGGCUUGUCAGCAAAAGAGGAGAAGUAGUAAGAAGAUUGGCCUCCACCCUACUUUCACUUUCAAAUCUCACAUGAGUCAUGUGGUCAAACCUGAAUUACAUCUGAAAUUUAGGAGGCCUGGGAAACGUAGUUACGUUUUUUAAGGAGGCUUUAUUUUUUAGAGCAGUUUUAGCUUCAC
rnacentral:lncRNA from 1 species